UACGUAGGGUGCAAGCGUUGUCCGGAAUUAUUGGGCGUAAAGAGCUCGUAGGCGGCUUGUCGCGUCGGCUGUGAAAACCUGGGGCUCAACCCCGGGCCUGCAGCCGAUACGGGCAAGCUAGAAUUCGGUAGGGGAGACUGGAAUUCCAGGUGUAGCGGUGAAAUGCGUAGAUAUCGUGAGGAACACCAGUGGCGAAGGCGACACUCUGGAGAGCAACUGACGCUGAGGCACGAAGGCCAGGGGAGCGAACGGG
rnacentral:rRNA from 1 species